rnacentral:rRNA from 1 species
AAACUCAAAGGAAUUGACGGGGACCCGCACAAGCGGUGGAUGAUGUGGAUUAAUUCGAUGCAACGCGAAAAACCUUACCUACCCUUGACAUGUCCAGAAGCCCGAAGAGAUUUGGGUGUGCCCGAAAGGGAGCUGGAACACAGGUGCUGCAUGGCUGUCGUCAGCUCGUGUCGUGAGAUGUUGGGUUAAGUCCCGCAACGAGCGCAACCCUUGUCGUUAAUUGCCAUCAUUCAGUUGGGCACUUUAACGAGACUGCCGGUGACAAACCGGAGGAAGGUGGGGAUGACGUCAAGUCCUCAUGGCCCUUAUGGGUAGGGCUUCACACGUCAUACAAUGGUCGGUACAGAGGGUUGCCAAGCCGCGAGGUGGAGCCAAUCCCAGAAAGCCGAUCGUAGUCCGGAUCGUAGGCUGCAACUCGCCUGCGUGAAGUCGGAAUCGCUAGUAAUCGCGGAUCAGCAUGUCGCGGUGAAUACGUUCCCGGGUCUUGUACACACCCCCCGUCACACCAUGGGAGCGGGUUCCGCCAGAAGUAGGUAGCCUAACCGCAAGGGGGGCGCUUACCACCGGCGGGGUUCGUGACUGGGGUGAAGUCGUAAACAAGGUAGCCGUAGGGGAACCUGCGGAUGGAUCACCUCCU